rnacentral:tRNA from 1 species
GGUGGCUCAGUGGUAGAGCACUUGCCUUGCAUGCAUGAGGACCUGGGUUCGAAUCCUCAGCACCA